rnacentral:misc_RNA from 1 species
GUACUCUCACACUCUCCGAUCCUAUGGAUUCGGGGAGCGGUGGACUUGGGUGUUGCUGCUUUCCUUGUGGCUCACCUCAAAUGCGUCAGUGCACCUCUUGGUUGGACAUAGUACGGCGUGAUAAGUAUCUUCGCCGGCGCCUCGCAAGAGGGUGGCCGAUCGGGAGCUCUGUGCUUUCAAACCGUCUCCGGACAAUAUCUGACA